rnacentral:rRNA from 1 species
AUUGCCCUAGUAACGGCGAGUGAAGCGGCAACAGCUCAAAUUUGAAAUCUGGCUUUCGGGCCCGAGUUGUAAUUUGUAGAGGAUGAUUUUGAUGCGGUGCCUUCCGAGUUCCCUGGAACGGGACGCCAUAGAGGGUGAGAGCCCCGUCUGGUUGGAUGCCAAAUCUCUGUAAAUCUCCUUCGACGAGUCGAGUAGUUUGGGAAUGCUGCUCUAAAUGGGAGGUAUAUGUCUUCUAAAGCUAAAUACCGGCCAGAGACCGAUAGCGCACAAGUAGAGUGAUCGAAAGAUGAAAAGCACUUUGAAAAGAGAGUUAAAAAGUACGUGAAAUUGUUGAAAGGGAAGCGUUUAUGACCAGACUUGGGCUUGGUUAAUCAUCUGGGGUUCUCUCCAGUGCACUUUUCCAGUCCAGGCCAGCAUCAGUUUUCGCCGGGGGAUAAAGGCUUCGGGAAUGUGGCUCCCCUCGGGGAGUGUUAUAGCCCGUUGUGUAAUACCCUGGUGGGGACUGAGGUUCGCGCUUCUGCAAGGAUGCUGGCGUAAUGGUCAUCAACGACCCGUCUUGAAACACGGACCAAGGAGUCGUCUUCGUAUGCGAGUGUUCGGGUGUCAAACCCCUACGCGUAAUGAAAGUGAACGCAGGUGAGAGCUUCGGCGCAUCAUCGACCGAUCCUGAUGUUCUCGGAUGGAUUUGAGUAAGAGCAUACGGGGCCGGACCCGAAAGAAGGUGAACUAUGCCUGUGUAGGGUGAAGCCAGAGGAAACUCUGGUGGAGGCUCGCAGCGGUUCUGACGUGCAAAUCGAUCGUCAAACAUGGGCAUGGGGGGCGAAAGACUAAUCGAACCUUCUAGUAGCUGGUUUCCGCCGAAGU